rnacentral:tRNA from 1 species
GCACCCAUAGCUCAGUGGAUUAGAGCAUCGGUCUUCGGAACCGAGUGUCGGGGGUUCGAAUCCCUCUGGGUGCGCCC